CCUACGGGUGGCAGCAGUGAGGAAUAUUGGUCAAUGGACGCGAGUCUGAACCAGCCAAGUAGCGUGAAGGAUGACUGCCCUAUGGUUUGUAAACUUCUUUUAUAUGGGAAUAAAAUGUUCCACGUGUGGGAUUUUGUAUGUACCAUAUGAAUAAGGAUCGGCUAACUCCGUGCCAGCAGCCGCGGUAAUACGGAGGCUCCGAGCGUUAUCCGGAUUUAUUGGGGGUAACGGGAGCGUAGGGGGGUUGUUAAGUCAGUUGUGAAAGUUUGCGGCUCAACCGUAAAAUUGCAGUUGAUACUGGCAGGCUUGAGUACAGGAGAGGUGGGCGGAAUUCGUGGUGUAGCGGUGAAAUGCGUAGAUAUGACGAAGAACUCCGAUUGCGAAGGCAGCUCACUGGACUGCAACUGACACUGAGGCGCGAAAGUGUGGGUAGCAAACAGGAUUAGAUACCCGUGUAGUC
rnacentral:rRNA from 1 species